rnacentral:rRNA from 1 species
UACGUAGGGAGCAAGCGUUGUCCGGAAUCAUUGGGCGUAAAGCGCGCGUAGGCGGCCCGAUAAGUCCGUUGUGAAAGUCAAAGGCUCAACCUUUGAAUGCCGAUGGAUACUGUCGGGCUAGAGUCCGGAGGAGGCGAGUGGAAUUCCUGGUGUAGCGGUGGAAUGCGCAGAUAUCAGGAGGAACACCAAUAGCGAAGGCAGCUCGCUGGGACGGUACUGACGCUAAGGCGCGAAAGCGUGGGGAGCGAACAGG